CACCCCAUGCUCCCUCCUCCUCCAGAUCCGAGUCACUCCCAUGUACAUGCAUCAAGAUGCCCCUAUUCUUCCGACAUGACAGGAGCUGAUCUGUUUUCUUGUGGUAAGUCUCAACCAUGGUCCUCCAAAAACAACAGUUAGGAUCUUUAGCUGUUCAUACAAAUUAUUUAUAAUUAAUCUAGGUCCGGGUGGCAGGAUCUUGAUUUACUUUUUUUUUUGCCCAAUGCUCAAAGGAUUAGCCGCAUGAGUGAGAAAAUAAGGGCCAUUUGCAUAUGUUUGGAGUGUGUUGAUUAUAUUCAGUUUAAAGGGCUUUGUUUUCUCGUAUCUACUCCUACAGUUUCGUAGGUGCUACUGUUAGGUGUACUGUUAGUACUCUCAUUUUUUGAUUUCAUUGAAAAACUGAAAAGGUUCUUGUCCAUAUAAUUUUUAUGCUAGCUAUGUAUUUUCAGGAACUUUUCGAGAAUUAAGAAACCCUCUGUUUUGCUUGGAACUCUUGGCCUGGUUGUGUGCCCCUCCUCUUCUGUGAUUUACAGCUUCUCCAUAACCAUGGAGAAACCUGAAGAUCCAAGUGGAGAAAAGAAAGGUUGUCAAGCAAGCUUUCUUGAACCAAAUGAUGAAAGAGUAUGUGGAUGCGGCAAAGUUUUGUGGUCAAAAUGGAUGGACAAAGGAGUUGGAGCAUGACAAGCAAAACCUAUCUCAGUUAUUUACGAUGAGGGGAGUACAAAGAGGGCCUCUGCGUGAUCCUCCUUGAUGCCUUCCCUGUUCUCCCUGCAUGGCUUCGCCUCGCUCCCCAUCCAGGCCGCCACGAGAGGCAGCUCCAAUCCGUCAUCGGGUUCCUCUCUCACCCUCUGUGUCCGGGGUUCAGUUCGUUCUGGUAAAAAAUGUAUAAGAAAGUAUAACUUCAAUACUCUGCAAUUGUUAUCUUCUUUGUACUGUAGCCGGUCACAGUAUUGUCAUUUGUAGUGCACUUGUAGAGUUCAAGUCCAUGAUCUGCAGAACAUGUUUAGAUCUGUUUUCUCAUACUGGCACGUGAUAGCAGGGAUGAAUGUAUUAAGCUCUCCACAAUUCAGUUCCUCUUUUAUUUUAAUAGCUCCACAUGUGUCGUC